UCGCACUAGUCGGGGAGAUAGCGGUGCCCUAUGCCUGCAAUCCGCUAUAGCAGGGAUGAAUUCCCACACCCGGGUUUGCCUGAGUACUGUCUGGCCGGUAUAAGCGGUGUUGAAGGAACGGUCUCACGCAACGAGAUCCCGUGAACCAUGUCAGGUGGGGAACCAAGCAGCAUUAAGCGGAUCUUCUCGUGUGCCGUGGGGUUGCUGUUCCAGAGCUGGCUGUACCGGUUUCGGGUAUUCAGCAGGUUCAAAUGUGGGUGUGCGA
rnacentral:SRP_RNA from 1 species